CUUGGUCAUUUAGAGGAAGUAAAAGUCGUAACAAGGUCUCCGUUGGUGAACCAGCGGAGGGAUCAUUACCGAGUUUACAACUCCCAAACCCCUGUGAACAUACCUUAAUGUUGCCUCGGCGGAUCAGCCCGCGCCCCGUAAAACGGGACGGCCCGCCAGAGGACCUAAACUCUAAUGUUUCUUAUUGUAACUUCUGAGUAAAACAAACAAAUAAAUCAAAACUUUCAACAACGGAUCUCUUGGUUCUGGCAUCGAUGAAGAACGCAGCAAAAUGCGAUAAGUAAUGUGAAUUGCAGAAUUCAGUGAAUCAUCGAAUCUUUGAACGCACAUUGCGCCCGCUGGUAUUCCGGCGGGCAUGCCUGUUCGAGCGUCAUUUCAACCCUCAAGCCCCCGGGUUUGGUGUUGGGGAUCGGCUCUGCCUUCUGGCGGUGCCGCCCCCGAAAUACAUUGGCGGUCUCGCUGCAGCCUCCAUUGCGUAGUAGCUAACACCUCGCAACUGGAACGCGGCGCGGCCAUGCCGUAAAACCCCAACUUCUGAAUGUUGACCUCGGAUCAGGUAGGAAUACCCGCUGAACUUAAGCAUAUCAAUAAGCGGAGG
rnacentral:rRNA from 1 species